rnacentral:snRNA from 1 species
AUACUUACCUGGCAGGGGAGAUACCAUGAUCACGAAGGUGGUUUUCCCAGGGCGAGGCUCAUCCACUGCACUCCAGAUGUGCUGACCCCUGCUUUUUCCCGAAAUAUGGGAAACUACUGCUUAAUUUGUGGUAGUGGCGGACUGCAUUCACACUUUCCCCAU